CGCUGGCGGCGUGCCUAAUACAUGCAAGUCGAGCGGAAUGAUGAAGAAGCUUGCUUCUUCUGAUUUUAGCGGCGGACGGGUGAGUAACACGUGGGCAACCUACCUUGUAGAUUGGGAUAACUCCGGGAAACCGGGGCUAAUACCGAAUAAUCCAUUUUGCUUCAUGGCGAGAUGUUGAAAGACGGUUUCGGCUGUCACUACAAGAUGGGCCCGCGGCGCAUUAGCUAGUUGGUAGGGUAAUGGCCUACCAAGGCGACGAUGCGUAGCCGACCUGAGAGGGUGAUCGGCCACACUGGGACUGAGACACGGCCCAGACUCCUACGGGAGGCAGCAGUAGGGAAUCUUCCACAAUGGACGAAAGUCUGAUGGAGCAACGCCGCGUGAGUGAAGAAGGUUUUCGGAUUGUAAAACUCUGUUGUAAGGGAAGAACACGUACGAGAGUAACUGCUCGUACCUUGACGGUACCUUAUUAGAAAGCCACGGCUAACUACGUG
rnacentral:rRNA from 1 species